rnacentral:rRNA from 1 species
GACGAACGCUGGCGGCGUGCUUAACACAUGCAAGUCGAACGGAAAGGCCCUGCUUUUGUGGGGUGCUCGAGUGGCGAACGGGUGAGUAACACGUGAGUAACCUGCCCUUGACUUUGGGAUAACUUCAGGAAACUGGGGCUAAUACCGGAUAGGAGCUCCUGCUGCAUGGUGGGGGUUGGAAAGUUUCGGCGGUUGGGGAUGGACUCGCGGCUUAUCAGCUUGUUGGUGGGGUAGUGGCUUACCAAGGCUUUGACGGGUAGCCGGCCUGAGAGGGUGACCGGCCACAUUGGGACUGAGAUACGGCCCAGACUCCGACGGGAGGCAGCAGUGGGGAAUAUUGCACAAUGGGCGGAAGCCUGAUGCAGCAACUCCGCGUGCGGGAUGACGGCCUUCGGGUUGUAAACCGCUUUCGCCUGUGACGAAGCGUGAGUGACGGUAAUGGGGAAAGAAGCACCGGCGAACUACGU